UACGUAGGGGGCAAGCGUUGUCCGGAUUUAUUGGGCGUAAAGAGCGUGUAGGCGGCCAAGCAGGUCAGCUGUGAAAACUCGAGGCUCAACCUCGAGACGUCGGUUGAAACCGCUUGGCUAGAGUCCGGAAGAGGAGAGUGGAAUUCCUGGUGUAGCGGUGAAAUGCGCAGAUAUCAGGAGGAACACCGGUGGCGAAGGCGGGUCUCUGGGCCGAUACUGACGCUGAGGAGCGAAAGCGUGGGGAGCGAACAGG
rnacentral:rRNA from 1 species